AGAGUUUGAUCCUGGCUCAGGAUGAACGCUGGCGGCGUGCCUAACACAUGCAAGUCGAACGAAGCUUGACGGAUGAUUUCUUCGGAAUGAAACCAGAUAUGACUUAGUGGCGGACGGGUGAGUAACACGUGAGCAACCUGCCUUUCAGAGGGGGAUAACGGCUGGAAACGGUCGCUAAUACCGCAUGACGUGUUCGGAUGGCAUCAUCUGAACAUCAAAGAUUUAUCGCUGAAAGAUGGGCUCGCGUCUGAUUAGAUAGUUGGUGGGGUAACGGCCUACCAAGUCUACGAUCAGUAGCCGGACUGAGAGGUUGAACGGCCACAUUGGGACUGAGAUACGGCCCAGACUCCUACGGGAGGCAGCAGUGGGGAAUAUUGGGCAAUGGGCGAAAGCCUGACCCAGCAACGCCGCGUGAAGGAAGAAGGCCUUCGGGUUGUAAACUUCUUUUAAGAGGGACGAAGAAGUGACGGUACCUCUUGAAUAAGCCACGGCUAACUACGUGCCAGCAGCCGCGGUAAUACGUAGGUGGCGAGCGUUAUCCGGAAUUAUUGGGCGUAAAGAGGGAGCAGGCGGCACUAAGGGUCUGUGGUGAAAGAUCGAAGCUUAACUUCGGUAAGCCAUGGAAACCGUAGAGCUAGAGUGUGUGAGAGGAUCGUGGAAUUCCAUGUGUAGCGGUGAAAUGCGUAGAUAUAUGGAGGAACACCAGUGGCGAAGGCGACGAUCUGGCGCAUAACUGACGCUCAGUCCCGAAAGCGUGGGGAGCAAAUAGGAUUAGAUACCCUAGUAGUCCACGCCGUAAACGAUGAGUACUAAGUGUUGGGUGUCAAAGCUCAGUGCUGCAGUUAACGCAAUAAGUACUCCGCCUGAGUAGUACGUUCGCAAGAAUGAAACUCAAAGGAAUUGACGGGGGCCCGCACAAGCGGUGGAGCAUGUGGUUUAAUUCGAAGCAACGCGAAGAACCUUA
rnacentral:rRNA from 1 species